CGGAGGGUGCAAGCAUUGAUCGGAAUUACUGGGCGUAAAGGGCGCGUAGGCGGCUUUUCAAGUUAGAUGUGAAAUUCCGGGGCUCAACCCCGGAGCUGCAUUUAAAACUAAAGAGCUAGUGGCUAGUAAGGGAAAACAGAAUUCCACGUGUAGCGGUGAAAUGCGUAGAUAUGUGGAAGAAUACCGGUGGUGAAGACGGUUUUCUGUGCUAAGCCAGACGCUGAGGCGCGAAAGCUAGGGGAGCAAACAGGAUUAGAUACCCUGGUAGUCCUAGCCGUAAACGAUGUAUACUGGAUGUAGGAAGGCUCAACCCUUUCUGUAUCGGAGCUAACGCGUUAAGUAUACCGCCUGGGGAGUACGGCUCGCAAGGGUG
rnacentral:rRNA from 1 species